CUUGAUGGAGCCGAUGAGCAGCGGUUUGCCCUCGGGCCUGUCCUGGCCGUAGGUGGCCAGCAGCGCCUGUGCCUC
rfam:Streptomyces autolyticus strain CGMCC0516, complete genome.